AUGAAGAAGAAACAUAUCAGCAUGGCAGUUGUUGACUCCAAAAUGGAUCUGACGUUCUCUCUGAGAAGGAAGGAGAUAGUUAAUGAAGAACCUGUUGUGGCUGAUGGCCAGCAUUGUUUUUGGAAGAUCAGAAUAUGCGGCUCUGUGUUGUGUUGGCCCCUGAUAAUAUUAGGAGGCUGGAUAUUUUGGAAAAUCUCACUUUGGUUGAACACUUAAAAACAAUUCUUCAAGAAAGGCUUGAAAUCAAGGAUGAUUUUCUGAUUCAGUUUGAGGAUCCUGAGUUCGGAAAUGAACUUUGUCACUUGACCAAUAUUACAGAGCUUCCACCAGAAAGUAACUGAAGACUCAGAACCAGAGACCUCGAUUUCCUCUUUAGACACUGCCAGUAUGUCCUCUCCAUCUGAUAGCUCAAACCAGAGUUUCCCCUUUGUGUAUGUGAGACAGAUUAAUUAACUUGUGUAGUCUUGAUUCUUACUGUUCAUUGUGUGUGUGUGUGUCAAGUUUUACAGAAUUACACAAACCAACCUGAAGAGUACCUUUUUGUCUUCUUAGGAUGAAUACACAUCAAAGAUGAUUAUGUUGUACCGAUCACGUGGUGGAGCCUAUGGAGACGAAAUGAAGACCCUCCUAGACCAACUUGAUCAAGUAAUAAUUUAGCAAAUUAAGCAAUUAUUUUGUGUCAAAUCAUGUAAACAUUGUAAAAUUUGUAACCUGUGAAUGAGCAUAAUAGUUGCCCUUGAACACUCCACUUUUUUGGAAAUGGGCUCAUUCUCCAACUCCCCCAGAGUUAAAAAGUUGAGUUUUACUGUUUUUUAAUCCAUUCAUAUAUCCAUUCAAUACAUCUCCGGGUCUGGCGAUAGCACUUUUAGCAUAGCUUAGCAUAGAUGAUUGAAUCUGAAAGUAACUGAAGACUCAGAACCAGAGACCUCGAUUUCCUCUUUAGACACUGCCAGUAUGUCCUCUCCAUCUUCCCCUUUGUGUUUGUGAGACAGCGUGAAAAUUCUCAGUGGCCAUCUCCUUUCCCGAUUCCCAAGUUCCCAAAGGGAAUGGGAAUUUUAAAGAAGAUGGAACAC
ensembl:lncRNA